GGGGCUGACCGGUUUUGACAGCAUAGAUCUUUGUAAGUGUAAGCAUGUAGUGCGUUGGAUAAUUAGCACUUAAAUCUGAAUAUUCAAACUUUUAAAUGGCAAUACUCAGUAUGCCAUGGCUGCCUAAUUAUUAAUUAGACCGUCAUUAGGGCCGUUGAACGGGCUUGCCUGUUGCCAAGUUCCUCCGCCGACUCAAAAAGAAAACGGGAUGCUGUAAUGGAAUGAAGUGACCAUUGCUUAAGAUCAUUCUUCUAAGGAAAGGGUUGGUUUGUUAUGCCCCGGCUUUUCCCCGACAAUCAAUGCAUAAAUAAACAUGUAGAAAGCUUAUAACGAGUAUGUUUGGACCAGGGUUCGAUUCCCUGCAGCUCCACAG
rnacentral:tmRNA from 1 species